AUUCCUGGGAGUGUGUCCCAUGAGGACAACAGCCACCUCCCAGAACCUUAUCCUCUGCAAACCUUCUCCUCCAGGUUAUUGACAUUCAAGGCAUUUGCCCAGCUCUUCAUCUUGGGGAGCUCCCGGGUGUUGGGCAUUUUCCAGAUUGGACCCUUGGCUGGUAUCAUGGCCUACCUGUUCACCAUCAUCAACAGCCUGCAGGGGGCCUUCAUCUUCCUCAUUCACUGUCUGCUCAACCGCCGGGUACGGGAAGAUUACAGAAGAUGGAUUACCAGGAAGACCACACCCGGAUCCCAGUCCCAGACAUCAGGGGUCAUACUGACAUCCUUUGCCUUCACUUCCAAAACGGGUUAAAGCUCUUUCUUGCUUUCAAAUACGCUAUGAAGCAACAUUUGAGGACAGCAGGUGCCGGCAGGAGCUGACGCUGAAAUCUUCUCUUCAUGGCUUAAUGUGGAAUUGCAGAUCUCACCAGCCCCAGGA